rnacentral:rRNA from 1 species
UACGGAGGGUGCGAGCGUUGUCCGGAAUCACUGGGCGUAAAGGGCGCGUAGGUGGCUCGUGAAGCGUGCGGUGAAAGUCCGAGGCUCAACCUCGGAUCGGCCGUGCGGACUCGCGGGCUCGAGCGUUGUAGAGGCGGGUGGAAUUCCGGGUGUAGCGGUGGAAUGCGUAGAGAUCCGGAAGAACACCGGUGGCGAAGGCGACUUACUGGACACGUAUUGACGCUGAGGUGCGAAAGCGUGGGGAGCAAACAGG